GGGGAAUAUUGGACAAUGGGCGAAAGCCUGAUCCAGCCAUGCCGCGUGUGUGAAGAAGGUCUUCGGAUUGUAAAGCACUUUAAGUUGGGAGGAAGGGCUGCAAGUUAAUACCUUGUAGUUUUGACGUUACCAGCAGAAUAAGCACCGGCUAACUUCGUGCCAGCAGCCGCGGUAAUACGAAGGGUGCAAGCGUUAAUCGGAAUUACUGGGCGUAAAGCGCGCGUAGGUGGUUUGGUAAGAUGGAUGUGAAAUCCCCGGGCUCAACCUGGGAACUGCAUCCAUAACUGCCUGACUAGAGUACGGUAGAGGGUGGUGGAAUUUCCUGUGUAGCGGUGAAAUGCGUAGAUAUAGGAAGGAACACCAGUGGCGAAGGCAGCCUCCUGGGAUAACACUGACGCUCAUGCACGAAAGCGUGGGGAGCAAACA
rnacentral:rRNA from 1 species